ACGAACGCUGGCGGCGUGCCUAACACAUGCAAGUCGAGCGAGAGACUUCGGUCUCUAGCGGCGGACGGGUGAGUAACACGUGGGUAACCUGCCUCAUAGAGGGGGAUAGCCUUCCGAAAGGAAGAUUAAUACCGCAUAUACUCUCGAUACCACAUGGUAUUUAGAGGAAAGGAGCAAUCCGCUAUGAGAUGGACCCGCGGCGCAUUAGCUAGUUGGUGAGGUAACGGCUCACCAAGGCGACGAUGGCGUAGCCGACCUGAGAGGGUGAUCGGCCACAUUGGAACUGAGACACGGUCCAGACUCCUACGGGAGGCAGCAGUGGGGAAUAUUGCACAAUGGGCGAAAGCCUGAUGCAGCAACGCCGCGUGAGUGAUGACGGCCCUUCGGGUUGUAAAGCUCUGUCUUUUGGGACGACUAAUGACGGUACCAAAGGAGGGAAGCCACGGCUAACUACGUGCCAGCAGCCGCGGGUAAUACGUAGGUGGCAAGCGUUGUCCGGAUUUACUGGGCGUAAAGGAUGCGUAGGUGGAUAUUUAAGUGGGAUGUGAAAUACCCGGGCUCAACUUGGGUGCUGCAUUCCAAACUGGAUAUCUAGAGUGCAGGAGAGGUAAGUGGAAUUCCUAGUGUAGCGGUGAAAUGCGUAGAGAUUAGGAAGAACACCAGUGGCGAAGGCGACUUACUGGACUGUAACUGACACUGAGGCAAUGAAAGCGUGGGGAGCAAACAGGAUUAGAUACCCUGGUAGUCCACGCCGUAAACGAUGGGUACUAGGUGUAGGAGGGUCCAACCUUCUGUGCCGCCGUUAACACAAUAAGUACCCCCGCCUGGGGAGUACGGUCGCAAGAUUAAAACUCAAAGGACAUUGACGGGGGCCCGCACAAGCAGCGGAGCAUGUGGUUUAAUUCGAAGCAACGCGAAGAACCUUACCUAGACUUGACAUCUCCUGAAUUACUCGUAACUGAGGAAGCCCUUCGGGGCAGGAAGACAGGUGGUGCAUGGUUGUCGUCAGCUCGUGUCGUGAGAUGUUGGGUUAAGUCCCGCAGCGAGCGCAACCCUUAUCAUUAGUUUGCUACCAUUAAGUUGAGCACUCUAGUGAGACUGCCCGGGUUAACCGGGAGGAAGGUGGGGAUGACGUCCAAAUCAUCAUGCCCCUUAUGUCUAGGGCUACACACGUGCUACAAUGGUAGGUACAACAAGACGCAAGACCGCGAGGUGGAGCAAAAACUGUAAAACCUAUCCCAGUCCGGAUCGUAGUCUGCAAACUCGCCUACAUGAAGUCCGGAAGUCGCUAGUAAUCGCGGAUCAGCAUGUCGCGGUGAAUACGUUCCCGGGUCCUUGUACCACACCGCCCGUCACACCAUGAGAGUGGUGCAAUACCAGAAGUAGUGUAGGCCUAACCGUAAGGAGCCAGAGGCCCUACGGUAGGAUUCAGGAUUGGGGGU
rnacentral:rRNA from 1 species